UACGAAGGGGGCUAGCGUUGCUCGGAAUUACUGGGCGUAAAGCGCACGUAGGCGGAUUGUUAAGUCGGGGGUGAAAUCCUGGAGCUCAACUCCAGAACUGCCUUCGAUACUGGCGAUCUCGAGUUUCGGGAGAGGUGAGUGGAACUGCGAGUGUAGAGGUGAAAUUCGUAGAUAUUCGCAAGAACACCAGUGGCGAAGGCGGACUCGCUGGCC
rnacentral:rRNA from 1 species